CCUACGGGACGCAGCAGUCGGGAAUAUUGCGCAAUGGAGGAAACUCUGACGCAGUGACGCCGCGUAUAGGAAGAAGGUUUUCGGAUUGUAAACUAUUGUCGUUAGGGAAGAUAAAAGACAGUACCUAAGGAGGAAGCUCCGGCUAACUACGUGCCAGCAGCCGCGGUAAUACGUAGGGAGCAAGCGUUAUCCGGAUUUAUUGGGUGUAAAGGGUGCGUAGACGGGAAAUUAAGUUAGUUGUGAAAUCCCUCGGCUCAACUGAGGAACUGCAACUAAAACUGAUUUUCUUGAGUGCAGGAGAGGUA
rnacentral:rRNA from 1 species